rnacentral:rRNA from 1 species
UACGGGGGGGGGCAAGCGUUGUUCGGAAUUACUGGGCGUAAAGGGUGCGUAGGCGGUUCGCUAAGUUGGAUGUGAAAACUCUGGGCUUAACCCAGAGCCUGCAUCCAAUACUGACGAGCUAGAGUUCUGGAGGGGGUAGCGGAAUUCCUGGUGUAGCGGUGAAAUGCGUAGAUAUCAGGAGGAACACCGGUGGCGAAGGCGGCUCCUCGUAGGCUAGCGCUCUGAGGCACGAAAGCGUAGGGAGCGAAACAGG